ACUGUGCAGUCUACUACAACUGGAACAAUACAAAGAUUGGCAUGGCGCCUACACAAGGAUGAUGACAUGCGUAUCUGUGAAGUGUACCAUUAAAAA
rnacentral:snRNA from 1 species